rnacentral:rRNA from 1 species
UACGUAGGGUGCGAGCGUUGUCCGGAAUUAUUGGGCGUAAAGAGCUCGUAGGUGGUUUGUCGCGUUGUUCGUGAAAUCUCACGGCUUAACUGUGAGCGUGCGGGCGAUACGGGCAGACUUGAGUACUGCAGGGGAGACUGGAAUUCCUGGUGUAGCGGUGGAAUGCGCAGAUAUCAGGAGGAACACCGGUGGCGAAGGCGGGUCUCUGGGCAGUAACUGACGCUGAGGAGCGAAAGCUAGGGGGAGCAAACGGG